AUUGAACGCUGGCGGCAUGCCUUACACAUGCAAGUCGAACGGCAGCACGGGAGCAAUCCUGGUGGCGAGUGGCGAACGGGUGAGUAAUAUAUCGGAACGUGCCCAGUCGUGGGGAUAACGUAGCGAAAGCUACGCUAAUACCGCAUACGAUCUAUGGAUGAAAGCGGGGGAUCGCAAGACCUCGCGCGAUUGGAGCGGCCGAUAUCAGAUUAGGUAGUUGGUGAGGUAAAGGCUCACCAAGCCGACGAUCUGUAGCUGGUCUGAGAGGACGACCAGCCACACUGGGACUGAGACACGGCCCAGACUCCUACGGGAGCAGCAGUGGGGAAUUUUGGACAAUGGGCGCAAGCCUGAUCCAGCAAUGCCGCGUGCAGGAUGAAGCCUUC
rnacentral:rRNA from 1 species